rnacentral:tRNA from 1 species
GGGCCAGUAGAUCAACUCGGUAGAUCGCCUGCUUCGCAUGUAGGAGGCUGAGGGUUCAAAUCCCUCCUGGUCCA